rnacentral:rRNA from 1 species
GAUGAACGCUGGCGGCGUGCCUAAUACAUGCAAGUCGAGCAAACGGACGAGAAGCUUGCUUCUCUGAUGUUAGCGGCGGACGGGUGAGUAACACGUGGAUAACCUACCUAUAAGACUGGGAUAACUUCGGGAAACCGGAGCUAAUACCGGAUGAUAUUUUGAACCGCAUGGUUCAAAAGUGAAAGACGGUCUUGCUGUCACUUAUAGAUGGAUCCGCGCUGCAUUAGCUAGUUGGUAAGGUAACGGCUUACCAAGGCAACGAUGCAUAGCCGACCUGAGAGGGUGAUCGGCCACACUGGAACUGAGACACGGUCCAGACUCCUACGGGAGGCAGCAGUAGGGAAUCUUCCGCAAUGGGCGAAAGCCUGACGGAGCAACGCCGCGUGAGUGAUGAAGGUCUUCGGAUCGUAAAACUCUGUUAUUAGGGAAGAACAUAUGUGUAAGUAACUGUGCACAUCUUGACGGUACCUAAUCAGAAAGCCACGGCUAACUACGUA